GCUUGUUUAACAUUGAUGAACCUUACUUUUUUUAAUCCAAUAUGGGGAGGUUAAGCACCACAAUAGGGUUUAUAAAAUGAAAUUAAUUAUAAAACCUUAUAAUCUUUAGUGAAUAAAGCUGGUUAGGUCGGAUUUGUGGUUGAAAAAAGCACACGUAGUAGUCGUUACCAUUUGGUUGUUACGUGUUCAGUCUACUUCGUGUCCCCUAUUAAUUCAUUCAUAGAUUGACAGACUUUUCAGCAGUUUAAAUUUUGGUGUUGAUUAUAAUGAAUUCUAGAGGGUUGGAUGGAUUUCUUCUUCUUCUUCUUCUUCUACUCUUCAGCAAUGGAGCACCACAAGCGAUAAUCAAAACUCUUCCAGGUUAUUCGGGUAAUCUUCCGUUCAAACUCGAAACCGGGUUAGUUCCUUCAUUCUUUUUUAUUUUUCUUUAUUUUUUUUUUUCCAUAUUGGUUCAUAGUACUAAACUGCUAGCAAGAUUUUAACUUUGUUUUUCAUCUUCAAAAUGACUGAUAGAUACAUUGGUGUGGGAGAAAAUGAAGAAAUACAACUAUUCUACUAUUUCAUGGAGUCCGAAAGCAAUCCUAAUAUGGACCCUCUUUUGCUUUGGAUGGCUGGUGGACCUGGUUGCUCUGGUUUAUAUAGCAUCGUUUAUGAUAUUGGUAAUCUCUUUCAAUAAAUAUAUGUGAAUUUUUGGAAAAUCUUGAAAGAUUAGGGGAUGGGAAAAAAAAAACAGAUUGAAGCAUGAAUCCAAGAACUGAGACCAAAAACACAAAAAAUGAAGAUAACAAAAAAUCUGAAAAAUGGAGGCUUAAACAUUUUUUUAAUGUCCUAAAAGCGAUAUUGUGUUAAGAUUAAUCAGGCAUUUUACUGAGAUUGAGUAAAGCACAAUGAAAACCCUAGAAAGGAAUAAUGAUUUUUUUAUUUUUUUUAUUUUUUGAAUCAUUCUGAAUAUUUAGUGUUGAAAUUG
rnacentral:lncRNA from 1 species